UAUCAAUUUGCACCUAUAGGCCCUGCCCCAAGGUAGGGCCAGGGAGAAUCAGUGGUCUAGGGGUUUGUUACUGAGACAGAAUAUACAGCAGAGUUGCAUUUGGGUAUACCUAUUGUGACUUCACCUUCACCUGGAAAAUGAGCCUCCUCACCAUCUUAAGGUAACUGGUUUUCCAUUAAAAAGUGAAAUUAUUUUCUCUUUCAAUCUGUGGCUCCUCAAGAAAGCUCGUGUCAUUGUUCUUACCAGCCUUUCUCAGGGGGUCUGUGAUGUUCAUUUCUAGAUAAACUUUCUGGAGACCGGAUAAAGCAAGUCAUGGAGCACAUCUGGAAGCUGCAGGAGUUCUGUAACAGUAUGGCGAAGCUGGAUAUAGACGGCUAUGAGUAUGCAUACCUUAAAGCUAUAGUUCUCUUUAGCCCCGAUCAUCCAGGUUUGACCAGCACAAGCCAGAUUGAAAAAUUCCAAGAAAAGGCACAGAUGGAAUUGCAGGACUAUGUUCAGAAAACCUACUCAGAAGACACCUACCGAUUGGCCCGGAUUCUUGUUCGCCUGCCGGCACUCAGGCUGAUGAGCUCCAACAUAACAGAAGAACUUUUUUUCACUGGUCUCAUUGGCAAUGUGUCGAUAGACAGCAUAAUCCCCUACAUCCUCAAGAUGGAGACAGCAGAGUACAAUGGCCAGAUCACCGGAGCCAGCUUAUAGUGCGUACCGCACACCUGCAGAGAAGCAAAAGGAUCCUCCCAGGACCACUCGGAUACAGAGAAAAUAAAGUAGUGGUAUUUUGGUAUGUGCAACUAUUUCCAGUAUGUUAGCCAUUUCCUACCUGGUUUCUUCUUAUCUGUUAAUCCCAGACAAUAGCAACUAAAAGACUAGUAGGAUCCUUUCCUGCCAUAAGAAAUGUUAUAAUGCCUUUUGAUGAAGGAGAUUUUGAAACAAUCUUUUAACCCAAUUUGUAUUUAGAAAUCCUCAAAGGGCAAAAAACAGAGUUUUAUAAUGUCAGAGACUAGUAUUAAACAAAACAAAAAGAACCUAAGAGAACAGUAUGUGUGUAUAUAUAUUAAAAAUGUCCUUGGAAUUAAUAGCUACUAAUUACCAGGGUAAUAAUAUUAGCACUUUCUAAGCACUUCUUAUCAAUGCGUAAUGUUAGCAACAUCUUGCCCUUGGGCAGGACAAAUGGAAAACUGUAUAUGUCUUUUGCCGAAAUGCUAGUAAUUUCUGUGAAAACGCACUAGGGUACAGGAGACAAUCAUUUAUGUUUAAGAAAAGAUGGCAUCAUUCCUAACUGUAUGCACACACUUGUGGUGUUGAACUAAAUUCCUAUGAACGAAUGAAAAUGUGGCUCAUCUGUAUGAUGCAGUAAGCGGGAGUGUGGAGGCACAGUCGGGGGUGACCCAAACCGGAAGCUUCCUCAGCUGUGAGGGUGAUGAUGCUUGUCAGCUUCCCUGACCUCUGGUUCUGGUCUGUGACUGGCAUCUGCAGGCUCCUCCAAACCUGGGGCUCUCUUCUGAUGACUGGUUCUCAGAAUUGGAUUACAACCAGUCAGACAUUAACUGCCAAUUCCUGCAGUAACUGAAAACAUCCCCACAUCACCUCCACCACUCACGGCAGACAGAGCCUUCUGACCAAAAAGUGCAAGGUGGGCAUUUUGAACCCGACAGUAAUUCCUGAAUGCAGUCUGGGGCGCUGGCUCGUUGUUCAGACGGAGGAGUGCAAAGGUUCCCUUCUCAUGGGGUUUCCAUUCCAAACAUCCCCUCAAGAAGGGCUGUAUUCCUGCAGUUCACUCAGAACUGUGAAGGGGAUUCGGGGCCUGGGGGUGGGGGGAGGUGCAGGAUUUUGCUGCCUGGCCAGGGUGGUGGUGGUGGUGUGGCUGAAUGGAAGGUUUCUCUGUUGACCUUAACUAUCAGGGUUUUCCAAAGUGUCUCCAGACUCAGCAUUUCUGUUGGCAAUUUUUUGAAUGGUACUGGUACACCAUGCACUUUGAUUCCCCCAGGUGUGUGCCAGCAAAGAACCCUGGAGCAUUUUAGGUGAUGGAUGCAGAAGCAAGCUACCUGCUCUUAAAAAAAAAAAAAAACAACAAAAAACAAAACAAAAAAAACCUUAACUCCCAAAGUUAUCUUCUUUCUCUUAAGUUAUAGCAACCAUCGUUUACAAGAACAGAAUGCAGUUAUAAGGAAGUUCUAUCUAGAGAAGAGCACCCAUAAAUUCUCAUGGAUGCAAGCAGCGGGCAUGUCCUGCUUGGGAAAAGUGCCGUGUCCAAGACCCAGUCAGGUACUCUUCAUUUCCUUUCUGUAUAGCCCAGAUUAAGAAAAUAGCUAAAGUUAAAUCUGUGUCUCCCAUAUCUUUUGAUCAGAUGAUAUCCAGAAAGAUCCCAGUGCGCUUCCCCUGCCUCACAGGCACUCCCCAGCCUGGCUCAGGCCCUCGUCGAGGUGGGGUCUUGGGUGCUGUGUAGGUACCCAGCCUGCCGGCCGCUGCCUUAUGACAGAACAGAAUGCUCUUGAAGCAUUAGCAGCACUUUGUGAAAGUCGUUAGUGGGAAUUAAGUGUGGGGACAGUAUCUCCAACUUCUGAAUUCCUAUUUGGAUUUAAUUAUAUUAUUUAUAGUUCAUGUCUUGGAAGCAAAUUUUGGAGACAAUAGGGGAGCGCGUUAUAAAAUGAUGGAAAGAAUUUAAUUUUGCCUGCUUAUUAAAUUUUUGGUUUUCUAACUUGGAAGUGAUUUAAAUUUCAAAAUUAAGGGGAAAAAAAAAAAAACUAGCCAAGACAGUGAAGUUAGGGCAGGUCUGUUUCAUUUCUGCUCAUGAAGGAUUUUAGCAGAGGGUAUCUGCAACCGUGUUUAUGCAUCUUACACAGCAAGUUGCCUCUUUUCUGUUCUUUUGGUUUUUUAAUGUAAGCAUGUCUGUUGAUCACAUAGCUGUUCUCUGGGAUUACAUGCUAUGUCACAUCUCCCAGAUCUGAUUCUCGGUGUUGGGGAAAAGGCCCACCCCUUCUUCCUGGGGGUGGCCCUGGGAGUCUUGUGUCCAUUCGGCUUGUAGACUCAGGUGGCCUUCAGAUACUGGGACGGCUUAGCCAAGACCUCGACUGAGGUCCCAACGACGCCACUGCUGAAGGGUUUUGGGAUAGAAGUGAUAACCAGCAGAAAAACCGAACAUUUGGGUGAGUGAGUGCCACACCCUGGCAGGCCAGCCCUGGAGAAAAAUCAAUUUGGCUUAGAGGGUUGUUGAUUCUGACCUGGUCCUGGUCCUUGGGUCCCUUCACUGAUGGUGGCUGAUUGCAGUGGACCAUUUUGGGCCUUGAACAUCAUUAGUUUCCCAGAUCCUCUUGGCCUUAUUUUGAAGUAGACUUCCCUAAAGAUAUGUUCACACAAGCUGAUUUCUUGCUGCCCCAAAUCAUUUCACACUUUGACAGCAGGUCCGUCCCGUCUUGUCAGAUUGGCUAAGAGAAGCCCAAAGUCAAGAACUUAAAGGGAUCCCAAGCAAAUACUGAGGUUCAGCUUUCACAAGUCUUUUACCUCUUUUGUUAGUAGUCUGUCAAAGUCUAGAUUUAGUUAAGGAAGGCCAGCCCUCUACCCAUUGGGUCUCUGACGGAAAUAAGCCAGGAGCAGAUUCUUCACCACACAGCCUGCCCACAUGUCCCUUCUGCUGUCCUGGCUCUUCCUCCCUUGCGAGAGGAGGUGGCAGUACGCAUCGUGCUUCUUGAUGCCAGUGGUAUCUCAGAUAAUGCUAGACGGUUAGGUGUUGAAAUUGUGGAGGUCAUGACAGAGAAUCAUAAAGGACAGGAAGAGACUUAGAAAAAGUCCAAAUUACACAAGCAAAUGAUACUUUCCAGGUUAUUCCACCCUUCUAAUUUGAGAUUUGUAUGUGUGUCUGUUGGGAGGUUACCAUUAUUUAUUAUCUAACUUCUGCCAUGAGGCUGUGGUUGGGGUUCUUUGUUGUUUGGGUUUUUAUAUUUAAUGUCAGGUGUAGUCACUUGUUGUAAGAUGUUACGUAAAUGCCCUCAAGAGGGACUGCUGUCUAGCUUGUCAGUAUUAAAUGUGGACUGUGUUCUGAGGCAGUUGCCACCAGCCACGGUGAGCGCGACGGAUGCGCCUUCUCUUGGGCUCCCUGAUGCGGUGGCCACACACUCACUAGAGGACACGGUUGUGGCCGUAGUACAGACUUACUCAGUGCUUUUGCUUGUGUUGGGGAUAAUCACAGCAGGGAGCUAAGAAUCGGAAGGGCUAGAUCUAGUGCUUUUAUUCUGGACAAAAACCACAUCCUGAUCCUUUGGGGGAAUUUCUAGUAGAGCAGUCUUGCCCCCAGCCUGCCCUCUGCCUGACACGCAGCCCUUGGCUAUGGAGCCAAGUUUCAGGACCCGAUCAGAUCAGAGUCCAGAAGCUUGUAGCCCACUUGCCGGUGGAAAGGGCCUCAUGUGCAGUGGGGCUGUAGAUGACAUUUCAACUCUUCUCUAAGUCUAGGCCAUGAAAAGUCAUCUCCUGACGUUCACUUUCAUCCCGGCUAUGAAUGAACGGGGGGAUAGUGGAGCAGGCCGGGCAGAUGCCCAUAUGCUUCCUUUGUCCCACUUCCAGUUUCUAGAUUGUACGGCUCUUUGAAAUGUCUUAACUUUGAUGUAAAUUUGUAAAGCCAAGCCCUAAUCGAGAUAGACUGGGUUUGGGUCUUUUGUACACAGGGUUUUGGACAUCCUCACGUGUGCCUCCUGCCGGUGCACACUUGCGCGUGUCCAGCCCUGGGGUCCCUUCAGCGGCAUCGUGCGUGUACAGAUUUAUAGGCUUGUAUGACUGAAUGAAUGUACAUGUGUUUAUAUCUUCUAUAUAUGUACAGUGUAUAUAGUGUGUGUAUGUGUACAUAGAUGUAUAUAUUAUGUAUACAGACAUGUAGCCAUGUAUCCAAAGUUCCCUUAUGUUUUAAAGAGAGUCUAUGAUAGAGUUGCUAAAGUAAAUUGAUGUGGAUGUUCCAAGGUCCCUCAGCAGGAUGGAUUUGCUGAUAUUUUAACUCCAUUUUCCUUUGGGUGAGCCUGGCUGGGAAAGGCCAUGAAGGCAGAUACUCCACCCUAUGCCAAGGAAAGUUCCAGACAGAAAAGGUCCUGAUAGGAGGACACUGCUGUAUAUUGUAUAUUCUCUGGGUCAGACAGCGGCCAGAAAGCUAGAAAGUUGAAAACUAGGUGGGGAUCUUUCACCUGGGUGCCGCAUGCCUGUUUAUAGCCCGACUGGAAGGAACUUGGCAGUUGGAGCUGUCGGCCUUCCCAGACUUGCUCUGUCAUGUGGUCCAGAGAUCAGCCUCACGGUCAGAGAUUCGGAACGGUCCAUGUGCUGGGGCCUGCCUCCCAGGUCUCUGCUUGCUCUGGACUUAGCAAACAGCGGGCACUGCCCUGUGGCUCAACAGAUGCCCAUCUCUAAUGCCAGUUGAAAAAAACCUACCAAGUAGUCUUUUAAAAUAAGCAUAAGAUAACUUAUGGCACAGAAGUUACAAAUUUUAAAUUCUUUAACUGUAGCAUGUGAAUAAAAUCCACUGACCUAAAUCCUUUCUAUAAAUUGUUUUAAAAUUUUUAGAUAAAAAUGUUAUUUUAAUAUGGCUAUUUGUGCCCUUAAAGCUACAGAUGCCAAAUUUUUCUUGUCCAGGUCUGUUCUGAUUAAUUUUCCCCCUUAAUUGGGCUUUAAACUGAGACAUGGCACUCGGGAGCCAGGGCCCAAGCCCAGCAGAGCUGCUUACAGACCUGGGAAGUGGGGCCUGCCUGGCCAAGGGCCGCAAGCUGGCCCGCUGAAGGGAGUCCCUGGAGAACUGCAAAAACUCACAUAAUCCACAGGUUUUCUGGUUUUUUGUUGGUGGUGUUUUUUGGGUUUUUUGGGUUGGUUUGUUUGUUUUUUUUUAAAUAAGCUACUGAAAUGUUUGAAAACACUUCAUUGAGACCAUAGUACUCAGUGCCUUUUGUGAGACGGUGGGUCAUUUAGCCUUCAGCUUCCCCUCUAUUGGAUGUAAAACAAAAAAAAACAACAACUCUGCUACUUCACUGGCCUCAUCCAACAGUGCUUAUUUGACCCUUGCCCCUGUCCUUGCCUGUUGUGACAAUCACACUAUUGAAGGUGGCUUUCCAGUUAAAAUACGAGAAGAAGCUUGACAGUCUCUAAAUGAAUCUUCAAAAUAAAAAUUUUCAUUUGGGGAGGGUAUUUUAACAGCAAUCUAAGAAUAAUUAAACUUUGAACUUAAAAAGAGUAUCUUAGGGGUGGGGAAAUGCCUGAGAUAUUUUUAAGGCCCAGCUAGACUUUCAGUUCAGAAACCAAUAAUCCGGUGUCUCAAUAUUUCUACAUACAGCAUAGAAAAAAAUGCUAUAAAUAUUGGGGGAAAAAAGUUUGGCAACAUUUAUCAGCUGACAUACUGUGAUAGCUUAAUAUUUGGAUAACAUUUGGAAAUAGUAGACUUUUAUGUUACAAAUGGCUUGUCUUUAGGAACAUAUACUCAAUUACCAUUAACGACCAGAGCAUCCAUGGACUCAGAUGCUGCCGCCACAUACAACUCAAGUGCUGGAAUAUUUUUCUACAGUCUCUGUUCUCCCCAUUCUCUUGUAAACCAGUGUUCAACUAGUUUUAUAACUGAAAAGCUGCACAUUUUUCAUAGUACAAACCAUAGUUUUUACCUGUAGUUUGGACCUGUUAAUUAAAAGACAUCUGUUAAAGGAAAAUUCGGGUGUUAAUUUCUUGGGACCGUUUCUGUAACUUCUGCCCUUCAUAAUAUAGAAAAUACUGUUAUGCCGUUACAUUUUAAUUCCAGGUUUAAAACCUGUUGAAAGCUGUAGCUUGAAAUCAGCUUUGUUUAUGUGAUGGCAUUUAAAAAAGAGCAUGUUCUUUUUAAACUGAAUUUUAUAUCUAAUCAAUGUCUUCAGUCUUGAAGAAGAAUUUGCAUUGUUGUGUUUGUAUAUAGAGUAUUGCAGUGCAUGAAUUAGCUUUAUGCAUUUUAUUAAAUGCUGUUUCAAUGUGGCAUUAUCGUUGUGGCUUAAUACUACUACCUAAAUGAGGUUUAUACUAUUAAAAAAGUGAAUUAAAGACUAAA